CCUUAAGGGUGAACAAAGAAAGUAGUUUCUUGAGAUGGAAUUUACUCCUGCUGAUGAUGCUGUGAA
rnacentral:pre_miRNA from 1 species